rnacentral:rRNA from 1 species
CCUACGGGCGGCAGCAGUCGAGAAUCAUUCACAAUGGGGGAAACCCUGAUGGUGCGACGCCGCGUGGGGGAAUGCAGGUCUUCGGAUUGUACACCCCUGUCAUGUGGGAGCAAAUUAAAAAGAUAGUACCACAAGAGGAAGAGACGGCUAACUCUGUGCCAGCAGCUCCGGUAAUACAGAGGUCUCAAGCGUUGUUCGGAAUCACUGGGCGUAAAGCGUGCGUAGGCUGUUUCGUAAGUCGUGUGUGAAAGGCGCGGGCUCAACCCGCGGACGGCACAUGAUACUGCGAGACUAGAGUAAUGGAGGGGGAACCGGAAUUCGCGGUGUAGCAGUGAAAUGCGUAGAUAUCGAGAGGAACACUCGUGGCGAAGGCGGGUUCCUGGACAUUAACUGACGCUGAGGCACGAAGGCCAGGGGAGCGAAAGGGAUUAGAUACCCUUGUAGUC